UACGGAGGAUGCAAGCGUUAUCCGGAAUGAUUGGGCGUAAAGCGUCCGCAGGUGGCUGUGUAAGUCUGCUGUCAAAGAGCGAAGCUCAACUUCGUAAAGGCAGUGGAAACUACACGGCUAGAGUGCGUUCGGGGCAGAGGGAAUUCCUGGUGUAGCGGUGAAAUGCGUAGAGAUCGGGAAGAACAUCGGUGGCGAAAGCGCUCUACUGGGCCAUAACUGACACUCAGGGACGAAAGCUAGGGGAGCGAAUGGG
rnacentral:rRNA from 1 species